GACGAACGCCGGCGGCGUACCUAACACAUGCAAGUCGAGCGAUGAAGUUCCUUCGGGAAUGGAUUAGCGGCGGACGGGUGAGUAACACGUGGGUAACCUGCCUCGUAGAGGGGAAUAGCCUUCCGAAAGGAAGAUUAAUACCGCAUAAGAUUGUAGUACCGCAUGGUAUAGCAAUUAAAGGAGUAAUCCGCUAUGAGAUGGACCCGCGUCGCAUUAGCUAGUUGGUGAGGUAACGGCUCACCAAGGCGACGAUGCGUAGCCGACCUGAGAGGGUGAUCGGCCACAUUGGGACUGAGACACGGCCCAGACUCCUACGGGAGGCAGCAGUGGGGAAUAUUGCACAAUGGGGGAAACCCUGAUGCAGCAACGCCGCGUGAGUGAUGACGGUCUUCGGAUUGUAAAGCUCUGUCUUCAGGGACGAUAAUGACGGUACCUGAGGAGGAAGCCACGGCUAACUACGUGCCAGCCGCCGCGGUAACAC
rnacentral:rRNA from 1 species